rnacentral:tRNA from 1 species
UUAAGGUUAGUUUAUUAAAACGUUAGUUUGUGGCGCUAAAAAUGCCUUUUAGGCACUUUAAA